rnacentral:rRNA from 2 species
UCUAAUACCGGAUACGACACGCGACCGCAUGGUCCGCGUGUGGAAAGCUCCGGCGGUGCAGGAUGAGCCCGCGGCCUAUCAGCUUGUUGGUGAGGUAAUGGCUCACCAAGGCGACGACGGG